rnacentral:rRNA from 1 species
AUUGAACGCUGGCGGCAUGCCUUACACAUGCAAGUCGAACGGGCUUUUGGGGCUUGCUCCAAAAGUUAGUGGCGAACGGGUGAGUAAUAUAUCGGAACGUGCCCUAGAGUGGGGGACAACCAGUCGAAAGAUUGGCUAAUACCGCAUACGAUCUAAGGAUGAAAGUGGGGGACCUUCGGGCCUCAUGCUCCUGGAGCGGCCGAUAUCUGAUUAGCUAGUUGGUGGGGUAAAGGCCCACCAAGGCGACGAUCAGUAGCUGGUCUGAGAGGACGCACAGCCACACUGGGACUGAGACACGGCCCAGACUCCUACGGUAGGCAGCAGUGGGUAAUUUUGGACAAUGGGCGCAAGCCUGAUUCAGCAAUGCCGCGUGAGUGAAGAAGGCCUUCGGGUUGUAAAGCUCUUUUGUCAGGGAAGAAACGGUGGGGGCUAAUAUCCUCUGCUAAUGACGGUACCUGAAGAAUAAGCACCGGCUAACUACGUGCCAGCCGCCGCCGUAA